ensembl:lncRNA
GUCAGUCAUUAGGGUUAGCAGUGUGGUUAAGGUUAUCAUUAAGGUUUGGGUCAGACAUUGGGGUUAGCAGUGUGGUUAAGGUUAGGGUCAGACAUUAGGGUCAGACAUUAGGGUUAUCAGUGUGGUUAAGGUUAGGGUCAGACAUUAGGUUAGCAGUGUGGUUAAGGUUUGGGUCAGACAUUAGGGUUAGCAGUGUGGUUAAGGUUAGGGUCAGACAUUAGGGUUAGCAGUGUGGUUAAGGUUUGGGUCAGACAUUAGGGUUAGCAGUGUGGUUAAGGUUAGGGUCAGACAUUAGGGUUAGCAGUGUGGUUAAGGUUAGGGUCAGACAUUAGGGUUAGCAGUGUGGUUAAGGUUAGGGUCAGACAUUAGGG